rnacentral:rRNA from 1 species
UACGCUAAUACCGCAUACGAUCUAUGGGAUGGAAAGCGGGGGAUCGCAAGACCUCGCGCGAUUGGAGCGGCCGAUAUCAGAUUAGCUAGUAGGUGAGGUAAUGGCUCACCUAGGCGACGAUCCGUAACUGGGUCUGAGAGGAUGAUCAGUCACACUGGAACUGAGACACGGUCCAGACUCCUACGGGAGGCAGCAGUGGGGGAAUAUUGGACAAUGGGCGAAAGCCUGAUCCAGCCAUGCCGCGUGUGUGAAGAAGGUCUUCGGAUUGUAAAGCACUUUAAGUUGGGAGGAAGGGCAGUAAGUUAAUACCUUGCUGUUUUGACGUUACCAACAGAAUAAGCACCGGCUAACUUCGUG